GGCUUUGCCCUUGUGAAGUGUUUGAUUCCUGGCUUGGACUGAGGCUGUGGCAAGGUAGAAGUGCAAGACUAAGGUGGCUGGAAUGCACAGUUCUGGGUCCUGGAGGCGGGGAUUCGUGCGGAAGAAGAGGCAGAAAGACUGUAAGACCCAGAGGAGAUGGAUUACUUCUUGGAAACAGUGCCUUCCAGACACAACGGGAGUGAUGCACAGGCGAAGUCAUUGUGGCAGAGACUGCGGCGACACACACAGAUCAUGCCCAAUCAAACCGAAUGAGGGGGGAAAUGGACAUGGGAUUCCGCCCUGGUGAAGAAGCUGUUUGUCAGUGAUACUUGCUGGUAAAGGGAACAUAUGUUUUCUCUAGUGGUGUCUCACUGGGUAUCUCAGCCACAUUUCAGGAUAUGUCCCAUGGCUGGCCAGGAGAAGUGUGCCAACCUAAGAGGAACUCAGUGGUACUUUUUUGAACCCUUUUUAUCAUUCUGCUUUCUUCUGGCAUUUUUGUUUGUUUAUUUUUUGUUUUUGUUUUGCCUCAUUGGUCUUUUGAUUGUUUCAAUUUUCAUCUUUGUGGGUUUUAUUUGGGGGUGGUUGUUUCUUGUUUUGUUUUUUGAAAGAGAAAGAGAAAGAACAUAGAGCUGAGCAGCUAGGGAAGUAGGGGGGAUCUGGGAGGAACUGUGAGAGGAAAAACAUGAUCAAAAAUACACUGUAUACAUUUUCUUUCUGUUAGAAAAAGGAAAACUGGGCUGGAGAGAUGGCUCAGCCGUUAAAGGCUAGGCUCACAACCAAAAAUAUAAGAAAAAGGAAAAC